CAUUUUCAAUAGUACUCGAUUUUCUUUUUCUCUUUCCACCGUUUCUGGAUCCUUCAAGUACAUAACUUUUGGUUGAAGAGGAGGGUUCCGUGAUUUGACUCAUCUCCACCUGCUUGUAUCGCUGCUCUUCUACAUCCGGUGUCAUUUCUUCCCCUCCAGAGGAAUACAUCUGAGGGGAUGGAGUUAAAUAAAGAUUUUGUUCUUGAUCUCUGCUAUGAUCUGACAAAAAACCUGGAGAAUUAUCAUGAAGACGUCUAUCAUAGUCAGUUUGAAGUUCCCUAAGGAUCUUUCCAUUGGGAUGUUCUUGAUACCUUUUUUCAGGAUCAUCAGGAUUUUCAUACAUCAGGUGGACUGCUUAGAUCCAUUAAGUGUGUCGGAGGGGAAAACCUUUCAUAGUGAUCAGGAGAGUUACUAGCCGAGCUUUCAGCACUGUGAGGAAUUCCAGAGCUGUCGUUAUUGUCCAGAAGAUAGAGCCCCUGGAUCCUUUGCGACUGGAGACUCACUGGUUGCGUGGUCUGCAUGAUCUUCAUUAAAAUUCACUUUGGCUAUUAGAUUUCAAAGGAUUUUUUAUAGAGUAACGCUUUUAUGAAAGGAUUUGGACUAUUAUAGGACACACGCUCGGCAUCGAUAUAGUGUCGAUACAUUUAUAGCAGGCUUGUAAAUGAGCAUACGUCUCUGCUCGAAAGUUCAGACUCAUCUGAAAGAACCGACCCUCGGACUGCCUCUUCAUGUCAACCAGGAACCCCGCCUUCGACUAUGGAGCUGUUCCCCUACCUGGCCCCUCUAUCCGCCUAUAUAAACCCCUCCAAUGCUCUGGGACGGUUUCUUUUAUCCAUCGUGUCUGUCAGUUAGUCCCCACCCACAAAACUUGGCUCUUGGAAAGAAAAGGAUGUACUGAAAGGGGGCUUGGGAGAUUGAAAAUCAUGAUCAGAGAGCUACAAAAGUUGUAACCACUGUCAAAACUGUGGACAUGAAGAGAAGAAAAAUAGAAUAUAGAUAAAACUGGAAUUUGAA